GACGAACGCUGGCGGCGUGCUUAACACAUGCAAGUCGAACGGAAAGGCCCUGCUUUUGUGGGGUGCUCGAGUGGCGAACGGGUGAGUAACACGUGCGUAACCUGCCCUUGACUUUGGGAUAACUUCAGGAAACUGGGGCUAAUACCGGAUAGGAGCUCCUGCUGCAUGGUGGGGGUUGGAAAGUUUCGGCGGUUGGGGAUGGACUCGCGGCUUAUCAGCUUGUUGGUGGGGUAGUGGCUUACCAAGGCUUUGACGGGUAGCCGGCCUGAGAGGGUGACCGGCGACAAUGGGACUGAGAGACGGCCCAGACUCCUACGGGAGGCAGUAGGGGGGAAUAUGGCACAAUGGGCCGAAGCCUGAUGCAGCAACGCCGGGGUCGUGAUGACGGCCUUCGGGUUGUAAACCGCUUUCGCCUGUGACGAAGCGUGAGUGACGGUAAUGGGUAAAGAAGCACCGGCUAACUACGUG
rnacentral:rRNA from 1 species